CUGAAAUCUGUAUUUUCAGUGCUGACAGCUAUAAAAUGGAACUUAAAUUCUGCAGCCGUACCAUCGGUGCCAUUGUCCACAUUGCCCAGCUGUCUCCGAAUUCUAAUGGUCAUUUGCGCUGAUGAUGCUUUUAUAUAUAGGGCUGUUCUCAAUAUGUUCUCCGUACUUAUUUGCAGAUAAUGGGAGCUGAUCAAGAAGAGAGAGGCACAGAGUCUCGUAAUUGUUUCCCCAAACAAUGUAAUUUCCAGUACGCACAGGACACUCAUGAAAACACAGCGAUACCAGAACAAAAACUGAAAUAUGUCAUCCAAAUGGCACAUGGAAAGCCAUUGCUGAUGACCUACAUUUUUAAACCAUCCUCCAGAAUGGUUUGGAGGAUUUUUUUAUGACUGUUCUGAUACAAAUGGUACCCCGGCAUAAGAAAAAGUAAACCUUACACACUACAUUAAAGCGAUAAAAGCAUCUGGAGGUCAGAUACUCUGCUAAGGAAGCAGCUAGCAAACUGAGAUGUUAGCAAACAUUUUCAGUGUAGUAAGGGCCUAGAUACACUGUUUUAAAUGAAUAUUUCUAUGCAUGCUGUUAGUGAUGGCCACAUUUUCAAAUUUCAGAAUAGCUAAGUAGGAAGCUCGAUGAUACUGGUAGAGAGAAAUGCAGCAUGUCAUGGAAGAUGCUGUCACGAGCGGGUGGACUGCAGGUGGACUUUAUCGUUCCCAUUGUGAAAGCAUUAAAGAACAGAAGCGUCGUGCCCUGACAUUGAGUUACAUGCCGAUUGAACAGAUGCGGUUCUACAAAUGCACAUCAUCCAUUGAAGUCAAUAAGAUCACUCACUUCCUUAAAGUUAAGCCCAGAUUAAGUGCUUCUGCAGACCGAGGCCUCUAGGAACAACAGCUCCGGAGUCUGCACUUUGGUGAGAUAGCAGCCCACGCGCUUUUCUAAAUCAAAACAAAAUCUUCUACUUUGCACUGAGAGGAGGUGGUCUUGAUUUCUGCCUUUACCCACCGCUGAAAUUUGAGCCUUUAAACUGAAUUUCAUCAACAUUUCUGGAUCUUUUGUCAUUGUCUGAGAAUAGCAUUGAAUUCUGGAGAAACCUAGGAAAAGGGCAGCCUUCCUUUAAAUGAGAAAUUGACGGUCCUGUUCACAUUUAAAGAGGAAAUCUUAAGCAAGAUUCAGUGCAAUGGUAAUCACAGAGUUCUCUGGUAAUGUUUGUUUGUUUGUUUGUUUGUUUGUUUUUCCCUAAUAUUUCUGUCUUUUACAAAUCUUUUCUUUGCUGAUGUGCAAGAGACAGAACUAACCCAUUGGGAAAGCAGAAGAAAUAUUUGCCAUUAGCUGCACAUUGGUCAGAGAUCCUUUCUUUUGUGAGCUGUAGUGGGCUGGCCUGGCUGAUGCAUAGAAGAAACAGUCAGACUCUUAACACACAGUUUUCA
rnacentral:lncRNA from 1 species